rnacentral:rRNA from 1 species
UACGUGGGGAGCAAGCGUUGUUCGGAUUUACUGGGCGUAAAGGGCGCGUAGGCGGCCAGCACAAGUCAGUUGUGAAAUCUCCGAGCUUAACUCGGAAAGGUCAACUGAUACUGUGCGGCUAGAGUGCAGAAGGGGCAACUGGAAUUCUUGGUGUAGCGGUGAAAUGCGUAGAUAUCAAGAGGAACACCUGCGGCGAAGGCGGGUUGCUGGGCCGACACUGACGCUGAUGCGCGAAAGCCAGGGGAGCGAACGGG